rnacentral:rRNA from 1 species
UGGGGAAUAUUGGACAAGGGGGGCAACCCUGAUCCAGCCAUGCCGCGCGAGUGAUGACGGCCUUAGGGUUGUAAAGCUCUUUUCUCCGGGACGAUAAUGACGGUACCGGAGGAAUAAGCCCCGGCUAACUUCGUGCCAGCAGCCGCGGUAAUACGAAGGGGGCUAGCGUUGCUCGGAAUCACUGGGCGUAAAGGGCGCGUAGGCGGCUGAUUUAGUCGAGGGUGAAAGCCCGUGGCUCAACCACGGAAUGGCCUUCGAUACUGGUUGGCUUGAGACCGGAAGAGGACAGCGGAACUGCGAGUGUAGAGGUGAAAUUCGUAGAUAUUCGCAAGAACACCAGUGGCGAAGGCGGCUGUCUGGUCCGGUUCUGACGCUGAGGCGCGAAAGCGUGGGGAGCAAACA